GUGGUUGUAGCUCAGUGGCAGAGCACCUGCCUAGCAUGUGUGAGGCCCUGGGUUCAAUCCUUAGCACCACG
rnacentral:tRNA from 1 species